UGCCAGCCGCCGCGGUAAGACAGAGGAGGCAAGCGUUGUUCGGAAUCAUUGGGCUUAAAGAGGGUGUAGGCGGCUUGGUAAGUGUGAUGUGAAAUCCCGUGGCUCAACCGCGGAACUGCAUUGCAAACUGCCUGGCUUGAGGUCGGUAGAGGUGUCUGGAACUCUAGGUGGAGCGGUGAAAUGCGUAGAUAUCUAGAGGAACGCCAGAGGCGAAAGCGGGACACUGGCUCGAUACUGACACUGAGGAGCGAAAGCAUGGGGAGCAAACAGGAUUAGAUA
rnacentral:rRNA from 1 species